AUAUAGUAGUGUUUAUUAGAUACAGAACAACACUAAAGUAUAAUCAUUCUAUGAUGAUAGUGAUGUAAAAUAAGGUGUUUCUUAGUAACCGAACGGAUCGCAUUAUAAUUAUCAUUAUUUGAUGAUUGGCGAUAGAUCAUUCAAGUUUCUGACCUAUCAGCUUUCGACGGUAGUGUAUUGGACUACCGUGGCAGUGACGGGUAACGGGGAAUUAGGGUUCGAUUCCGGAGAGGGAGCCUGAGAAACGGCUACCACAUCUAAGGAAGGCAGCAGGCGCGCAAAUUACCCAAUCCUGACUCAGGGAGGUAGUGACAAGAAAUAACAACACUGGAAAUUUGAUUUCUAGUGAUUGGAAUGAUGGGAAUCCAAACCCCUUUCAGAGUAACAAUUGGAGGGCAAGUCUGGUGCCAGCAGCCGCGGUAAUUCCAGCUCCAAUAGCGUAUAUUAAAGUUGUUGCAGUUAAAAAGCUCGUAGUUGGAUGUCUGUUGGAAGCAAUCAUCAGUCCGCCCUAUUUGAUUAGGGUGUGAAUAUGAUGAAUUCCGGCAUAAUUGUCUCCCUAUUAUCAAUAUAUAAGAUGAUCAUUAUUAGAUUCAUUUCUAAUAAUGCGUCUACUAUAUUAUUGGUAGUAUGGGAGAAAUGUUACUUUGAGAAAAUUAGAGUGUUUGAAGCAGGCUUUUGUUGCCUUGAAUACUGCAGCAUGGAAUAACAAUAUAGGAUUUCGGUUCUAUUUUGUUGGUUUUUUUUAGGACUGAAAUAAUGAUUAAUAGGGACAGUUGGGGGCAUUC
rnacentral:rRNA from 1 species